CGCGUUUGUUGCCCAUCUCGUCCAUCUCGUAGAGUCGUCGGCUGUGGAGGAGGUAGAAGAGAAGGUUGCAAAACUGCUGUGGCCCAUUGCGAAGGCGCGUGUACGGCGGAUUUGCCCGAGCCGGAGAUACUAUGAGAUCGCUCAAAAUAGUCGGAGCAACGUCAGUGGUAGCCCAAUUUGUAUGCCACUUGGAUUAAAUGAAUCAACGAAAGUGCGCAAAUAGCUUGAAAGCAAUCUUAGGCAUGCGAGGAGCUAACUAUUCAAUUACUCAGAUUGCUCAUCGUUUACUACGGGUGUAUUUGGAGUGACUUACUAUUGAAUCAUAACUACAUACAAGUAUAUAAAGUUAAAUAUGCAAAAACAAAUAAACAUAAUUAAGCUCA